rnacentral:rRNA from 1 species
AGUCUGCAACUCGACUCCAUGAAGUCGGAAUCGCUAGUAAUCGCAGAUCAGAAUGCUGCGGUGAAUACGUUCCCGGGCCUUGUACACACCGCCCGUCACACCAUGGGAGUCUAUUGCACCAGAAGUAGGUAGCCUAACGCAAGAGGGCGCUUACCACGGUGUGGUCGA